AACGCUACGGAAGAGCGGGCAGAACAAACUUCAAAGUAAAUGAGCCCAAGUUCCGGGCCCACCGGGUCUUCGCAGGUUCGAGCCCCAAUCUCCAGCGAAGCAGGCUGGCGAGACUCAGGAGAUCUGGCCCGAGACUCCCUUCGGUUGACAGACGGCGGGGCUGGGGGACAGUCUCGUCUGGCCGGAGGGCUGCGCCCCCACCGGAAAGAGAAACCGGGGGCGCGGCGAGAAGUGCGAGCUAGGAGGAACCGCCGAGGCAGGGGGGAGCCUGGCCUGCCGAGUCGGCUCGGGGUCCGAGAGCGUGGAGCUUGGCGAGGAUGGGAGGUAACCACCCCACCCCCCGGGAGGUGCCAGGAGGCUGCAGCGUCCGCGCCUACCGCGCGCCUUAUUUGGGGGUUCGAGCUCCCAGUUAGCAGAGGCGGGCGCGCUGCGCUGAGGGCCUGAGGUCACCGGCAGGAGGCAGAGGGUGCGCAGCAGGAACCAGCUCCAGGGACUUCUCCUCUCGGCGACUCCGAGGCCCGGGACGCAGAGGCAAGGAAGGACUCAGCAGUGGCCGCCCAGCCCAGCAGUCGGCGACCUAGAGGCUGCGGACUCGCCGAGCGCCGGCCGUGGAGCCCUGGGGAUCCUGGGAGCCUUUCGCCGGCUCCCUUCACGGUUGGCGCCGCCGCCUCCGGGCGGGGCUGGGGCGAGCCGGGUGGCGGCCACGAGGGGCUAAAUCCCGACCCCAUUCAACCGCUCUGCCGCCCACCAGCCCCGCGCGGAGUCGGUCUCGGGAGCUCUGGCCCGGCUUCUCCCGCUCAAACCCAGCCCUGGCCACCCGACACCUUGUGAGCCGCGUAGAAGGGAAAAGUGAGACUCCAGGAUUGUCUUCUAAAUUCAACCGAAAAUCCUACUGCCUCCUGCCCUGUCUACGUUCCUGCUGCCAAUCCUGAUGGUGACUCUUGUUAGAAAGAAAUAGACCAAAGAAAUAAAUGAAAGGCUGUUUUUAAAGGCAAUUUCAUUUAAACGAAGGGAAUCGCGCAGAAGUCUUGUGUGAGUGUAAAAGAGGGGAAUAAUCAGUGUGUGCAUUCACUUAAAACCCGGAACCACGAAAGCCAGCAAGCACUCCAUUAAGUGCCUUCUUAAGGGAUUUGGAGAGGUAAUAAAAAGGAUUACUGCAAAGAUUAAAUGAGAACAUUUAGGAAAAGCACCUCCGUAGAGCUUCCCAGGUGGCGUUAGUGGUAAAGGAGGAGACGCCAGAGACACAGGUUCAAUCCCUGGUUUGGAAAGAUCCCCUGGAGGAGGGCAUAGCAACCCACUCCUGGAGAAUCCUACGGACAGAGGAGCCUUUCAGGCCAUGGUCCAUGGGGUGGCAGAGUCAGACGCGACUGAACGACUUAACCAGAACGCAGAUGCACGCAGUAGAAUUGACUUCUCCUAUCUUGAAAUAUUGCACUCAUCUCACAUGCUAGUAAAGUAAUGCUCAAAAUUCUCCAAGCCAGACUUCAGCAAUACAUGAACUGUGAACUUCCAGAUGUUCAAGCUGGUUUUAGAAAAGGCAGAGGAACCAGAGAUCAAAUUGCCAACAUCUGCUGGAUCAUCGAAAAAGCAAGAGAGCUCCAGAAAAACAUCUAUUUCUGCUUCAUUAACUAUGUCAAAGCCUUUGUGUGGAUCACAAUAAACUGGAAAAUUCUGAAAGAGAUGGGCAUACCAGACCACCUGACCUGCCUCUUGAGAAACCUGUAUGCAGGUCAGGAAGCAAGUUAGAACUGUUCAUGGAACAACAGAUUGGUUCCAAAUAGGAAAAGGAGUACGUCAAGGCUGUAUAUUGUCACCCUGCUUAUUUAACUUAUAUGCAGAGUACAUCAUGAGAAACGCUGGGCUGGAAGAAGCACAAGCUGGAAUCAAGAUUGCCGGGAGAAAUGUCAAUAACCCCAGAUAUGCAGAUGACACCACCCUUAUGGCAGAGAGUGAAGAGGAACUAAAAAGCCUCUUGAUGAAAGUGAAAGAGGAGAGUGAAAAAGUUGGCUUAAAGCUCAACAUUCAGAAAACUAAGAUCAUGGCAUCUGGUCCAAUCACUUCAUGGCAAAUAGAGGGGAAAAGAGUGGAAACAGUGUCAGACUUUAUUUUCUUGGGCUCCAAAAUCACUGCAGAUAGUGACUGCAGUGAAAUUAAAAGACGCUUACUCCUUGGAAGGAAAGUUAUGACCAACCUAGAUAGCAUAUUAAAAAGCAGAGACAUUACUUUGCCAACAAAGGUCCGUCUGGUCAAGGCUAUGGUUUUUCCAGUGGUCAUGUUUGGAUGUGAGAGUUGGACUAUAAAGAAAGCUGAGCGCCACAGAAUUGAUGCUUUUGAACUGUGGUGUUGGAGAAGACUCUUGAGAGUCCCUUGGACUGCAAGGAGAUCCAACCAGUCCAUCCUAAAGGAGAUCAGUCCUGGGUGUUCAUUGGAAGGACUGAUGCUGAAGCCGAAACUCCAAUACUUUGGCCACCUCAUGUGAAGAGUUGACUCAUUGGAAAAGACCCUGAUGCUGCUAGGGAUUGGGGACAGGAGGAGAAGGGGACGACAGAGGAUGAAAUGGCUGGAUGGCAUCACCGACUCGAUGGGCAUGAGUUUGAGUGAACUCCGCGAGUUGGUGAUGGAUAGGGAGGCCUGGCAUGCUGUGAUUCAUGGGCUCGCAAAGAGUCGGACACGACUGAGGACUGAACUGAUCUUGAAAUGACACCUUCCUUUCAGCCCCAGGCUAUCUUUGGUCCCCAAGCCAACCCAGAAGGCAGCCUGUCCUGAUUUUCAAGGUGACAGUGCCGCCACCUACUGGCAAAAAAAGUUCUCUCUGGUUGUGAGAUACAAGCAUCAAGAACUCCAAAGGAAGGAAUUAACUAUUAUUUCAUACUCUUUCCCCACUCCAAAUGAAUUCUCAUCCAAUGUGCUGUGACUAGAAGGAAGAGGGAGGGGAAUAAUGUGUCAGAAAACAUGACUGAGCUUGUUAA